AACUAAUUUUGUUAUUGGUAUGAGCUUUCGUGUGCAUGCACACUUAUCUGAAGAAGUAUCUGAAGAAGUGUGCAUGCACACAAAAGCUCAUACCAAUAACAAACUUAGUUGG